GCGGGUCCGCCCGAAGCGGCGGACUCGGGUUACUUUCCCUCUCUAAGCCGGUCCGGCUCACACCCGCAGCGUCCCGGGCCCCGCUUUCCUUUUCAAGGGGCGGGUUGUAGAUCGCGCGCGCACCCUGGAGAGCCCGCUGGUUUGUGUGAGGCCCUGGCCCUGUGGGUAGCAGAACACUCUGUCUCGCUGUGAGCAACAAUACACUAAAAAAAAAAGAAAAGAAAAAAAAAAAGGUAAAGCCUAAUUCCCCUCCCCAUGAGGAUGUGACUCGCUUCUAACAGAAUAUGGCAGAAGUAAAGAUAUGUGACUUUGAGACUAUGUCAUGAAGGACAUUGUGGCUUCUGCCUAUCUUUCUUCUGGAUCACACCCCAGGGGAGAAAGCCAACCUCCAUGUUGUGAGGACACUCAAGCAGCCCUUCGUGGAGGUCCGCGUGGUGAGGAAUUGAGGCCUCCUGCUGAUGGCUCAUGCUAACUUGCUAGCCGUGGGAGUCAGCUACCUUGGAAGCAAUCCUUCAUCCCCAGUCAAGCACUCAGAUGACCGCAGCUCUGGCCAACAUCUUGACUGCAACCUGUGAACGACCCUGAGCAGAACUGUCCAGUUAAGCCACUCCUGGCUCACAGGAAUGGGGGAGAUAAUAAACAUUUAUCGUUUCAAGCUGUUAAGUUUGGGGGUAUGUUAUGCAGCAAGAGAUAACAAAUGUAGAAUAUUUCACUCAUUUCUACAUGAAGAUUUCUUUUCUUUUUUUUUUUUUUGAGACAGAGUCUCUCUCUGUCACCCAGGCUGGAGUGCAGUGGCGCGAUCUCAGCUCACUGCAACCUCCACCUCCCGGGUUCAUGCCAUUCUCCUGCCUCAGCCUCCCAAGUAGCUGGGACUACAGGUGCCCACCACCACGCCUAGCUAAUUUUUUUGCAUUUUUUUAGUAGAGACAGGGUUUCACCAUGUUAUCCAGGAUGGUCUCGAUCUCCUGACCUCAUGAUGCGCCCACCUCGGCCUCCCAAAGUGCUGGGAUUACACGUGUGAGCCACUGCGCCCGGCCCUACAUGAUGAUUUCUAUCACAUAAAUAUACAAUACUAUAUUUAUCAAGCACUAUAUGUUAAUAGAUUCAUUAUCAAUCCUAUCCCGUUAGAAUGUAAGCUGCAUGAAAGAAGAAAGUUUGUUUUGUUCAUUGCCAUAGACUUACAGUGUUGAUAAAUAAAUAAAUAUUUCUUGAAUGUGUGAAUCACUUGAUGAGUUUACCAUAAUUUGUAUCAGAUUAAAAA
rnacentral:lncRNA from 10 species